CACACAUACACAAAUGCAAACUAUGAGUUAACAGGCUAUUGAAACACUAUGCGAACAUUUGAAAGUGGUUCUGAAUUCAAACAUCAGUCACUCAAUAUUUUUGCAGAAAAGACAUACUUAAUCAUAGCAUUUAAAAAAAUGUUUUAAUUUGUGUCAUUUUCAGUCAUUGGCCAAACAAUGCUCAGUUUUGUCAAAUAUUAGAAAUUGUACUUUCUCUCACCUUCUCAGGAUUUUGAAAUACCAGUUAUAGUUUGUAAACAACCAUUUUCAAAAUAAUGUAUUGAUAAGUAUUCCAGAUCUCUGAGAUAAUCAGUUGUAGCUCUGGUCAUUCUGAAGGGAAACUGUCAGCUCAUCAGCAUCUGAUAAGUUGAUGCUGCUUUUCAGAUUCAUAGAUAGACAGGUAGCCAGGAGCAACAGCUGGUGCCCAAGCACCACUUCGCAAAUGUAUGAGACACCACCUUUGUAUAGAUGAUAUAAACAGUUGACAGGGAAAACCCCUGUCCUGCUGGCCUAUCCCUGCAAACACACACACACACACACACACACACACACACACACACACAGAAAAAUAUGUAUGUAUAUACAUGAAAUAAUCUUUUAAUUCCCGCCUUAAACCCAGCCCAAAUUCGUACCCUAAGAAAUAUCAAUAAAUGAGAUCUUGUGUCACAUGCUCUCUUGGCUUCUCAUUUGUUAGGACAUUGUCUUCAUAAGCUUAGAAGCACAAAGGCACACACGCUCACACACAUACAAACAUGUUUCUGCCUUGUGACUUUGUUUGGGAGCACAGAGAAGCUACUCUAUAGCGAUAACCCAGCUGACGCAGGCUCAGAGGGUGAGAGCUUGUUGGGUGGGAAACAGAAUAACAUACUUUCAUAGUGAACUGGUUUUGCCAGCCUGCCCUGUGGAUCACAUUCCAGCAGGGCAUACCAGGAGGACUAUGAAAAGAGAGCAGCCAUCGCAUAUCUUGGUAAACAAGCUGAUCACUUCACCACAAAAACACUAUCAGGUGUAGGAGACAAUUAGAAGACAUCAUAUUAAUUGUGUUUGCAUACGCCAAAGGUCCUACUAUAAAAGACAUCGUUAAAACACAAUUUCAAAAGCAGCUUGAAGGAGUAUGGUGCACUGCGUAAACAAAAUGAACAGAUAAUGUUUCGAAAAUGAGAGGAAAUGGGUUUUCCAUAGCUGCAGAACAAGACAAAGCUUACUUAUCAAAAAAAGUUAUAUAAAAGUUAAAGAAACUCUACACUGAGCCAUACAGUUUGUUUCUCUGCCUCAUGUGAAUGUCACCAGUCUGCUUACAACAUAAACACAUGCACACAAACACGUCAGGAUAUAGUUAUAUAGUACGUAAACACCAGUUACAAUAAGGUCAGCCUAACCACAGCAAAAGUCCCAUGAUCAGACAAGGCUAAAGGCUGAGCUGUUAACAACAGCUGAGAGAGAUGCUGGCUCAUUCUAUGCAUAAAAACAAACUUAGCAUGUGAGCUGUCCCACAAGGCCUUCCUGAUAAAGUCAAUUUUUUUUUGUUUUUCAAACACAUACAUUUCCUGCAUGCUUCCUGUUUUGCCCCCUACUAAUUGUUUGAAGGAUUGAGUCCUGACUCACUUCCUAUUUUUACACAGAAACACUAACUAUCCACCAUUUCCUCUGCACUACAGAUGCAUUGCCUGUGUGGAGAACAGUUGGGACCAUGUGAUCACAGCCUGCAGUCUCCAUCCAGCCUCCUAAGGACAGCUGCAUUGGUCAUUAAGAGAUAGAAAGAGCACUGUUCCCUCACUCUGCAUCACAGCUGAUAGCAGAGCGCCUUACAGCCUCGACGGCGUGCCGCAGGAGACGAGACAAGGCAGAAGACACAUGUGAAUAUGCUCGGAGGCCUUUGAUGACAGCACAGCGGACUGCUUCUGCUUGCUUCACAAGAUGGACAAGAAACGGCGAGUCGUGGCACGGAGAGCGACACACGCACAAGUUCAACGCCGCACGUUUCACCUCUGAUGUCAACACGCACUGUGGAAACUCAGUGGACGUGCGCCUCCCCUUGGUGGAAUUGAGGAAUUACAGCUUUGCCUUCUGGUGGUAACAGGUAGGGCAACAUUUCGGGGGAACUGAAAUGGAGGGCAGCAUCUAAAGAAGUAAGUUAGCAUUGCUACUAUCAACACAACUUACAACUUACAACAACUUACUUGGUCUCACUUUACAGCAUGGUUGAAUCUUUCAGGGAAUAAAUGUUACAUUUGUGCACAUAA